UUGUUUUCUACGUUUAUUUUGCCACUUUUUUAUAAUAUUUCUUGCUUUCUUAACGUCUCUUAGCCGCCGACAACUUAGCCGACCAGCAACAUUGGGAUCGGCUAGCGGCUUUAGAAAAUGUUUGGAAGUGAUGCUUUUCAUUGUGAUUGCGUUCAUAAAAUGCCCUUAUAUUGAUGUGUGAUUUUCAUUUGCUGUGUGGCGCGCUUACUAACGGCGUAGCAUCCAGUCAUCGUGUGACCAAUGUGGGAUCAGUGCUUCACAACCUGUGCUCUAAAGAAUGUGUCACUCCGUCGACAAUGUCAGCACGAACGGGCGCUGGUCUUUGCUGGAAGAUAAACGCUGUCUCAGAAAAAGAAAAUAUAUCAGUACUGACAACGUCAUCUGCCUCGUACUGCUCCCGCAAAACUCUAAACGGUGUUCCUAUUGGUGUUCCAUAAUCGGCAGUCUUCGUUUUGCGUGCUGUCACUUAAAUAGAAUAGUUCGUGCGAUCGUCUGUCGAGCGUAUAGAUCGAACGCCGAGGACGCAAUGCGUCUUCUCGUCACGCAUAUACUUAGCUGCUUAUGUACUGUUCUGCUGCUAGUUGCUGAUGGGUGUAUGCAAACUGUGGUCGCGUGAGAUUGCACUUUACCCCGUGGGCUUCGGUGGCCACAGCCGCGACAGACGGUGCCAAUUAACAACAGGACUUGCUCAACCUGUGGCAAGACGUAUAGCAGUGUGAGCAACCUGCGAAAGCAUGUGCUCAUUCACACUGGAAAGAAGCCGUUUGUGUGCACCUGGUGUGGCCGGAGAUUCCUACACAAGCAUCAUCGUGAUAAGCACCUCCAAACUCUGCAUGCUCGUGAUCGCGAGGCAUUUGAAAAGAGCAGAGCAGAGGUACCAAUUAUGGGGGCACCACUGGCUACAGAAUGAUUGCCCCCCCACCCCCCUUUAUCUGGAGAGACCAACUGGACAAGUGCAGUGUUGCGUGCAAGUCAGUGUUAACUCGGCCGAGCCUAAUUCAUUCACCAAGCUCUUGACACACCCCUUGCAAUCACCUGUGACAGAGCCACACACGUGAUUCUCUUCUAUGCUCUCAAUGAUGUUCCUUGUGAUAGUGCCCUAUGCUCUCGAUGACAUGCCUAUUCUCGUGGUAGUGCCCAGUAGCAGGAAUCUAAGCUACACCUGACAAUAAUAAAUACCUAAAAGCAGUGCAGUAGAGAUAAACUGGCACUUUUGUUGUCAAUGCAUUAUAUUGUGAAACAUGUGAAAAAACAUGCACUAUGAUGAAGGAACUCACACGAACGUGAUAAAUAUGUGCUCCUUUGUCUUAAUGUGGGUUUUGAAAGUCCUACAUAGUGCAAUUACGAUGUCACACUAUCUAGCACCAUUGUUUGCUCUACUGAAUUCAUUAUUUGCAUCUGCAGACAUCAGGAAUUAUGUGACAAUUGCCAGUAAGUCAAUUAAAGUAGCUUUACGAAUCAGUAUAUCAGUAGUAAUUUUAGCACACAUAUGUCAUCUGGAAUUGAAGCUGGCCAGUGCUGAAUGCAUGUCUAUUUACGAUGAGCCCCCAAGACAUUCAUUUCCCACUUGUCUGUUUCCAAAAUGUGUGGCGGGAUACCGCGGUGCCCCACCACACAUUAGCAGCCGUGUCGCAAUAUGAAUGCUUUUGAAGAAAAUAAUGCACUACGACCUCUUGUGUUUUGUCACGCAUUUAGAGACAUAAUGUGACUGAUCCUAGCUUCUUUGUGGGGUUUAAUGUCCCAAAAUAACUCGUGGUUUAUGAGAGAUGCUGUAGUAGAGGAUUAACUUCGGCCACUUGGGGUUCUUUAGUACACAUCCAAAGCACUGUCAAUGAGUGUUUUUGCAUAUCACCCUCUUCAUAAAGGGGCCUGAAAUUGAACAUGCAACCUUGUGCUUAGCAGCAGAAUGCCAUUUUAGAAUUCCUUGAGUACUGCUUGGCCCUGAAUGCAGUCAAACAACAUGCCCACGUGAAAACUAGUUAAGAUAUAAAUAGCCGUAGCUAACAUAAUUGUGAGCUUGUUGGUAAUCAUUGUGCAAUUUCUGAUGCCCAUUGCCGCAAAUGAUGCGUGGGCAGAAAAUUUUCUAGAUACCUGUGAACUUCAUUCUCUGAAGUCUCUGUCAACACCCACUGUGCCUACUGCUUAACGAAUGUAGUGAAAUAUUAUAACAAAUGCAGGUACAGUUAUGUAUUCCUCUGGUUGAACUGCCAAAACUGCAAACAUCCCCAAUAUGAAAUAUAGUCGCAGCAUGCUUGUUGUAGAAUAUCUGAUAUAACACUGGUAAUUUUGUGUCCAAUGCAACUUCGUUAUAGCAAGGUUUCACUGUAGUUCAGCGGAGUUCUGAGGUACUAUUGCAACCAGCCUCGGAACCUUAUUAACUGAGCCUUCAUUGCAGUCAUUGCCUGGCCGGACUUUUUUUUUUGGUGCCGGAUCCCAUUUCCUCUUCUUCAACACGCAUGUUGCAGCAAUGCAUUGCCUAUGUUAAACUGAAAGCCACAUAUAGUGAACUCCAAGCACAUACUGGCACUGCCUAAUUAGGUCUAAUUUCGUUGCUCUCAACAGCUUUGGUAGUUAGUGCCUUCAACUCUUUGAUCAUGAGCUGUCUUAGUCGACAAGUAAAAUGUUCAGCCUUAUCUUUCAAGUGCGGUUAAUUGAUCACACAUUUGUUGCACCUUGUCGAAAUGUUUUGCACUUACCAUUAUUGGCUCUAAACAGUUACUCUCACCUUAAAGUUAUUCACAAAGUGUAGGGAAUCCCCAACAAUUGCUAAAGUGUUUUUCUUAUUCCCCCAAAAAUGCCAUUGAGUCUGUCCUGGCACUGGACCCACUGAUGCUGCAUUACCACAUGAUAUGCUUAUUCACUGGCAGGCUUUAUGUGUGAAGGCAUGUUUCCAUUAAUUAUUUUUAUGUGCGAUAAUUUCUUGGAAUAUUUUUUCUAAUUUUUUUAAACAUUAUGUACACGUGUGGCACCAUUGUGAAAAAAAAAAUGCAGGAGCAAUUUCAAUGUCGCCGUACUGAUGCAAGAAAUGGGAUGCUUUUUUUCAGUGAUCACUAAGAUAUUGUUUUCUUGCCCUUGGUGUGCGACGAACCCAUGUGUAAAAUUGACAGUGAAAAAAAAGUUUUAUUUCACGCAAGUUUUAAAAUACUGUAUAUAGUAGCACCUCUCCAAUGCAUUGUUCAUAAGCUCACAGGCUGACAGAAAUAGAGGAAGACGUAUUACCUGAACAUGUUGAAAUGAGGCUUCAGUGACCUUGUGAUCAUGAAAGCAUUAGUGAGGUGCAUUUUAGCUAGGUUGUACUGCACGGUGAACAAUUUUUCACGGGUUGUAUGGGUCGUUAAAAGUUGGUUUGACAUUACGGUAAGAUCUCCACCAGAAUCACAAAGGAUUGAAGUAUUUGUUUCAUUUACCAGCAGUUCUUUAGCUGCAAUAAUUAUGUGAGGAAUAUAGAAGGGCACUUAUUUUCGUCAGUGUGCAGUCUUUGUUGAUGUUGGUAAAUGGAUAUAGCAAGCGUAAUUUUAAAUAUUUGGAAAUUUUUAAGUGCAGAUAAAUGUCAGCUUUUGUUUAUUCACAUGGGUUUGGGACUUCUUGCAGAGAAUCCUUGUUCAGUUGUUCUUUGCUGUAGUGCAUCUCAUUGCAAGUGGAAAUUUGGUUCAGCCAAGUGGUUCCUAAGUGCACUGCGCAUUUGCUUUGGAAUGUUGCACAGGUGACAUGUUCAGCCUGUGAAGUUGACUAAUGAGAAUUUUGUCGAUGACAUUUGCUUCUGUUCUCUAGUUUCUGACAUGUGACUGAUUUUUCGAGUGCAGCCUUGCAUUGUUCUCUUGAAUGUGCUUGAAUAAUGAUGACUCUAACAUGCUGAUUUUAUCUCAUUAUCAGACUUCAUGGGCUCUUAUUUGCUUCAUCAUUCACAAUACAUGAACAUAUCUAAAUCUUUGUGCUUCCUUCAUGAACCUGACCUGCCUUUGUUAAGAUCUGUGUAAGCUGAACCUUGCGCUACCAUUGUAUAUUCGUGUACUUUUAGCAUGGUAAAUUUUGACUUCAUUACCUCGUUUGCAAUGGCUAUUUUUGUCAGCACUUCACUAUUCUGCACAUGCCAUACUUAAAAUCAAACAUUUGAACUGAUAUGGGGCGUGUAUUUGAGCCACCUUCUUCCUUAUGGUACCCUUUCCUAUGGCCACAUAGUAUGUUCCAGAGCAUAGAUGAACUCUUAACUACCGCUCAUGCAAGUGUAACAAAAACGUUAGAAAAGAAAGGAGGCAUUUCUUUCAUUACAUUGUUGUACUUGUGCAUCAUUGCUUUUGUGUGAAGAAAGUACUGCAACACAGAACAAUAUCAUUCAUUAAAUUGUUGAACCGGCCUGAAAUUGCAUAUAAAUAGAUCUGCAUGUGUGAGCAUGCACCGUCACGUUAUCUGCCGAAGAGAUUUCACUUUUGUUACACGCAAGUCACGAUAAAGUGCAAAUUGACUUUUUCCAUUGUUAGUAUAGCUAGUUUUUGAUCUGCCAUCUCUUUUUCCUUUGUUCUUUGAGUAUUGACAGGUUUGGCCUUGUAAAUAAAUGUUAUCACUUUGAAGCCA